rnacentral:misc_RNA from 1 species
GAAAUGCGAUAAGUAGUGUGAAUUGCAGAAUUCAGUGAAUCAUCGAAUCUUUGAACGCACAUUGCGCCCUUUGGUAUUCCUUAGGGCAUGCCUGUUCGAGCGUCAUCUAAACCUUCAAGCCCUGCUUGGUGUUGGGUGCCUGUCCCGCCUCCGCGCGCGGACUCACCUCAAAUCCAUUGGCGGCCCCCGCGUCGGCCACGAGCGCAGCAGAAACGCGAACUCGUGAGCCCGUCCGGGCGGCUCCCAGAAGCUACACCCACCCAGUUUGACCUCGGAUCAGGUAGGGAUACCCGCUGACCUUAAGC